UUUCAAAAAUAUUAUUUUCUAUGUAUUCUACAUAUGAAACUUGAUGAAAUUCUGGAAUUCUGGCGCACAUACAUUUUGAGGUUAUGUUUAUUUUUCAAAUCAAAACACAAGCGUCAUGAGUGGCACGAGUUUAGCAAUUUUAGCAAUAGCAACGUUAGCAAUGAAGGAAAUAUAUGUGUUAGUUUUUUAGCAGAAUUUCAUCAACUUUUUAGAAAAUUAAACAGAAAUCACAGAAAUCAAUUUUGGAAA